UUUGAAUUUUUUUAAAUUUUGGACAUCCGGAUUGCAAAAAACCUCCCUCCCCCCCCCCUAUGUCCGAGUUUCUCCUGAUUUUCCAAACCCCCCUCGGCUCGGACAUCCUUUGUGAAUGGACCCUUAUCAGGUCUAAAAAUGUAAAGCCUUUACAUUCUCACCAAACACUUACACAGUGUGUAACAGUUGAUGGUCUGAACAUCAGAAAUAUUUGCAUAAGAAUAUCAAUUAAUGAUCGACAUUACCUCAAUUCUACAAAAAUUAUUAUAUUUUUCUCUGUCACCAAAUAAAUGAUGUAGCUGUAACUCAUUAACAUGUAGUUUUUAGAUAAUAAUUAAACUGCUUUAUAUUUUCAUAGACCAAGAAGAGUUCUCUUAACGUGAGAUGAAUCAUUGCUGUAUCUGAUGCAUUAUUUGGUAGUCAGUACUGUAUGUGGUCAUGAAAUUACACUGUGCUGUUAUGACCAUGGUCUGAAAAUUUGAGGUUUUGUAUCAUUACCUCUGCUGAUCGGCAGGGAUCAAAGAACAUAUCAGCCUAAGUAACACAAGUAAAGAAAAUAAAACAUUCUCGAUAUUCUUGAUGACAUAUAGAUUUGUUGAAGUAGUUGUAAUGAACUAUUAGUAAUUUAGUCAUUUUUUUUGGGGGGGGGAUUUUUAAAAAUGUACUUGUUAUAGAUUUGUUGAAGUAGUUGAACUAGUAGCAAUUUAGUCAUUUGGGAUGUUUAAAAAUGUACUUGUUUUAAUUUAUAUCUCAUAAUUUUCUCAGAACCAAUCCAAUUCACACUGCAUUAAUUAAACACAGUAUUUUCAGUGGUCAAGUAACAAACAAUGAUUUAAUUGAUGUAUGGAAUUAGAGAGGUCACAAAA